GUGGGGAAUAUUGCACAAUGGGCGAAAGCCUGAUGCAGCAACGCCGCGUGAGUGAUGAAGGGCUUCGGGUUGUAAAACUCUGUCUUUGGGGACGAUAAUCACGGUACCAAAGGAGGAAGCCACGGCUAACUACGUGGCAACAGCCGCGGUAAUACGUAG
rnacentral:rRNA from 1 species